rnacentral:tRNA from 1 species
AAUCUUUUAGUAUAAUCAGUAUGUCUGAUUUCCAAUUAGAUGGUUUAGAAGAUUA